rnacentral:rRNA from 1 species
ACAUCCAGCGAACUUGGCAGAGAUGCCUUGGUGCCUUCGGGAACGCUGAGACAGGUGCUGCAUGGCUGUCGUCAGCUCGUGUUGUGAAAUGUUGGGUUAAGUCCCGNAACGAGCGCAACCCUUUAUCCUUUGUUGCCAGCGAUUCGGUCGGGAACUCAAAGGAGACUGCCGGUGAUAAACCGGAGGAAGGUGGGGAUGACGUCAAGUCAUCAUGGCCCUUACGAGUAGGGCUACACACGUGCUACAAUGGCGCAUACAAAGAGAAGCGACCUCGCGAGAGCAGGCGGACCUCAUAAAGUGCGUCGUAGUCCGGAUCGGAGUCUGCAACUCGACUCCGUGAAGUCGGAAUCGCUAGUAAUCGUGGAUCAGAAUGCCACGGUGAAUACGUUCCCGGGCCUUGUACACACCGCCCGUCACACCAUGGGAGUGGGUUGCAAAAGAAGUAGGUAGCUUAACCUUCGGGAGGGCGCUUACCACUUUGUGAUUCAUGACUGGGGUGAAGUCGUAACAAGGUAAGCGUAGCGAG